UCUAGCCUGUCUUGUCUCGUAUCUUCGAAAACUCGUUUCUCGUUGAUUCCCUAAUGUCACGUAAUAUUGGAAAACAAAGAGGCUGCGAUAUGCUUCUCUCAUACACGCGGCACCAGACCGAGGCGACGUAUCAAUUAAAAUUAAAUUUCUGACUCACUCGGCCCAUUUGAAAUUCUGCACCGUGCGCCGGCGCUCCUCCACUUUGCCAAAACACGAUGACCUUGCCUGCCAUUGCCUCGCCUUGCACGGUCGCGCAACGUAUGAAUGGUAGGCUAAACGUUAAGCCUAAGCGGCAACGGCCGCUACGUGUUCGCGCAGGUUGCGAUGCAAACGAUGCAGAGAACCGAGUGUUCGCGUGUUCCUCGAUAGUUCCAGUAGAAACCUUGCACCCCUUUAAGACGCAGACACUUUGACUUUGGAAUUUCAGAUGAUAAAGCAUAUGUUGACCCUUGAUUAACAAAGUCGAAGCUAACUAGACUUGUAUACACGUACAAUGUACGAUCGUUGACGGUUGAUCUAACUUGACUUCCUGUGGAAAUCCUACACGGAUACGGUAGAAUUAUGGGAGGUAGACUCGCAACGGAGUAGACUGUAACGACGAGAGCAGGAUUAUCGGCUACGAUGAAAGCAAUUUUAAUAUACAAGCGACUAAUCUCCUUUGGAAUGGAAUUGGACGAAACAGAAUGGUAUGUCAAAAGGAAUAAGCGACUUUGAAAUUGCACACAAUGAAGGAAGAGUUGUCCCUUGAUUAACAAAUUCGAAGCUAACUGUACACGUGGUCGAUCUACUGUGGAAAUUCUGCGCACAGAGCAUACAAUUAUGGAAAGUAGAUUCGUAAAGAUUGCAAUAGAGGAAAAGUUGCCAUAUGCGAAACUCCAUCCCUCGAUCAAGAGGGCCACCAGCUGUACAAAUACAACUAGUCGAACAGCUAUGACAGCUAAGUACUACAAAACAUCUUUCAAGUCGAGAAAUUCCUUAAGGUCAACGUUCGAUCCGCUGAAAAAUGGGAAGAGUAGGUUUUUCCCAUGUUCAACGAACAUUUCCAUCUGCGGACAUUUUGUAGAGCGACCAGCACCCGUCACAAAAGUUCCGUAUAAAUACCGCCGUCACGGAACGUAACUUACUUGCUAUAAUCCCUUCGAACAGAAGAUUAUUAUUAAUCUCAACUUAUUAGUCACUCGUCGCUUUAUAUUCUUCGAGGAAAAGUUGUUGGAAUAAAGAGUAUAUUUAAGUUAUUAAA